rnacentral:rRNA from 1 species
UACGAAGGGGGCUAGCGUUGUUCGGAUUUACUGGGCGUAAAGCGCACGUAGGCGGAUCGUUAAGUCGGGGGUGAAAUCCUGGAGCUCAACUCCAGAACUGCCUUCGAUACUGGCGAUCUUUGAGUCCGGAAGAGGUGAGUGGAACUCCUAGUGUAGAGGUGGAAUUCGUAGAUAUUAGGAAGAACACCAGUGGCGAAGGCGGCUCACUGGACACAUAUUGACGCUGAGGUGCGAAAAGCGUGGGGAGCAAACAGG